GGUCGGCUCCGUUUUUUUUCAUGGCCACCGCUCUGUUGGUCGUCGGAGAGAUUUCCUGUUUCCUCGGCCACUUUGCACCCAGGAGACGCUAUUGCACUUUUCUAUCCGGCGUCACUUUUAUCCUUUCCGGAUUGUUACUUUUACUCGGUCUGGUUGUUUACGUCUCGGUUUUCACGGCUGAAAUCGGAAGUAAAAGUAAAUUAAGGCCCAGCUCAUCAUUAUAACCGCCAAUAUUCACCUACGCCUAGGCUACAGUUUCCAUUUGGUAGUCAUCGGUUUCUUAGCUGGCGAGGUAGCCGGUACUUCUGCCAUUUUUCCUGUUCAUUUAUUGGCACCGAAAUCGAAUUGCCAAAAAGGAAAUGCACCGGAAAAUGA